AGCCGUAGAGGUACCUCAGGGCGAAGCUGAUGCGGCCGCAGGGCGCCCCCGCGCCGGCCUCUCCGGAACCUGGGGCCCCGCCGCCCCGCCGGCCGCCGGGUCCAGUGCCCUGGUACAACUCCGGCUUGAUCUGUCCGAUGAGCUUGGCUUUUUCCUCACCGCCUGGGCACCCAGCACAGCUUCCAGGACACGAAGAGGGAGACACCCAGAAGGACAAUGCCACAGAACGUCACGAUGACCGACAGCAGGCUCACGGAGAUGUCUGGAGAGAGUGAGGACAAAGGCUCUCUCCCCAUGUGGCGAUGUGAUGGUCCCCAGCAGCUCCAACCUAGGCUGCGACCGGCCUGGCAACCUCAUUGGAAAAAGAAAGAUCCUCUUUGCUAACAGGUCCGGCAAAAGUCCAAGGGUUGAAUCUGUAUCCUACGAUGAUUUUUAAGUUCAUCCCUGAACAAAUGACUCAGAAAAUCAAGGUGCUACUGCGUAACAAGCAGGGAAUCAAUGUUUAUCAAGCAGGAAUAAUUGACAGUUAAGGCAGAGACCAGAUGAAUUCGAGAGAAGACUAGAGAUACGGGUAACAGAGACAGACUGGGAAGAUAGACAAAGUAACUGAAAAAGUCUGCGCUCCUCUCCCAUGGUUCCUGCUGAGAGCUCUGCAGACACAAAGAAGGGAUGCCCAGUGGGCACCUCUGUGGCUAAACUCCUUCACUCCUGCCCUUGGGGUCAGGAGCCCCCAGCCCCUCCCCCAUCCACUGGAGGUACCAUGGCAACCAGGCCCCCUGCUCACCUUUCCCUCCCCCAUAUGGAACCCAGUUUCUGUUUGAAUCGCACCUGUACCUAACCAGUU